UUAAUUGAAGCCAAAUAGAGGCAUAUUACUGUUAAUGAUACCAUUGAAUUCAAUUCCAAUUAAA
rnacentral:tRNA from 1 species